GGAAGGCCACAGUUCCUGGAAGCUGGCACAUGCCCACACGCUGGCGUGGUUGUCCACCAAAUACUUGAGUGGGAACACAGCUGGAGCUUGGAGAAGAGCAGAGAAUUCAGGAAAAGACCAAAAAAAUUAACACUACAUUGGGCAGAGGCAGGAAGUGCCCCAGCUGGGAGCCCUGAGCACAGGGUAACAGAAGCACUUGGCACACCGACAGUGGAUCACUGAGGAAGAAGAGCAGAGCAGAGCGGUCC